ACCAUCAGGGGUCAGCUGAACAUCAGGGAGGGGUUACCUUUUGAGGAGUCCUUGCUCGAUGAGUGGGAAUUUGUCCCAUGGAAAGAUAUUAAGCAUGCAGUGCAUGAGUUUGGAAUCUCCCAAGGAGGAAAAAGCUAUCAUCUCUCUUGAGAGAAAGCUUGAAGAUCCUACUCACUGGACGCUACUUCAAGUACAUGUUACUCAUGAUCUGGGAAAUGUGCUUCCAAGUAGUUGGAAAGGACAAAUCACUUUGAGGCCAAGCCAGUAGAGAUCCAGUGUGAAUCCUCCCUUCAUCAGCAAGCAAAGACCUCCAAGAUGUCAGAGCUACUAUUUGGAAACAGAGCUGCUAUUUGGAAACAUCCCAGGAUCUUGAGCACCUUUGGAGGAAAGCCACCUCCCUCACCUCAGACUGUGACAUGAGCAAGAGAUGAGAAAACUGAUGCAGAGUGCUUACAUAACUUGCAACAAUACCAGAAGGAUGUACUUUCUGAUGAUAUCUCAUGAGAUCCUGUUCUAUUUUGCAUCUUCAGCCUAUCUCGAAAGAAUCUGGUAAAAUCAUUCAUGGGAAGUUAAUUAACGGGAAGAUCCCUUUUCAUUCCAUCAAAACCAAACAUUCUCGAGGCACCUGCUGGGCACCAGAGAGCGCUCUACAGGAAGAAAUGAUCUUGACUCUGUACAGAAUCGCUAUUAUUUAUCCUGCAGUCUGGGAGGUCUCCUCAUUGCUCUGGAGAAUGAAAUCAGAUACUCCAACUGUAGGUACUGUGAACACAAGCCUACAGAACUCAUAAAUGAGUUCCAAAUGCUGCCCUGUGCAAGACAAAUCACAAUCCCUUGGACUAAACUGGUUAUAGAAUCUACGUGAUAUUUUAUGCUGAGAAAUACAAUGUCAUGCACCAGGCAAAUACCUUGUAGUUUCUCCAUUUUUUUCUCAAGUGAUAUCAAUAUUCAUUUUUCUCCUCUUUGACAAAGAAAAA